ensembl:lncRNA
CUCUCCCCAACAGCAGGACUGGGCUGCAACCUUUUGCGAGAGGACAGGUGAAAAUAGCAGCAGCACUUGAGGAACAGCUCAGAAAUCUCUGCUUCUGAACCGUCCGAUUACGUGAUUGAGGUCCUCGCCAGGACCCGGUGAAGCUGCUGUGUCGUCUUCUUCGUGUGCACCAGUGAUGGCGAGAGAACGGGCCAACAGCAGGGAUGUGACGGAUCCUGGCGCCCGUGCGUAGAAGGCCCGCUGCGUGCAUUUGCUGGUUGGCUCCCCACCUUGCCUGCCCCUGGCUCCAGCCCAACUCGGACAGUGAGGCGUGGACUUCUCCAAGAGCCAGCACGCUCCUGGCUGCAUCCUGGGGCUCGGAUGGGCAAGGUCAUGUUCUCCACAACUGCAGCCAGGCUAACGAUGGUAGCUUUGCACGACAGCAGCGUUCCUGGGCAUCUUUCGAGAUGCGGAUGGCCUGCAAGCUGGGACAUGUUCUCCACUUGGAGGGACAUUUUUGGACCCACGUGCAUCACCCAAGGUUCUCAAUCUCUCUCUCAGUCUUUGACCUCGUCUGCAAAGUGAAGUCCACGUUCCAGGGACUAGGAGGCAGUCAUCACUGAGGGACCACGAUUUUGCCUUCUCAGAAGCGUUCAUUUGAUUUAGGUGUGCUGGGCGUUGAAGAGAUUUUCUUUAGCCACUUGAGCUUUUCCGUGAACAAAAAAAAAUCCUCGUAAAGCCUCCAGCCUUACACUUCAGAUAUUUCAGAGCUGCAGCUGUUGGCAUUUCUUGGAGGAUGCCUUUAUGUUU